rnacentral:tRNA from 1 species
UCCAGGGUAGCCUAGUGGACAUGGCAUCUGCCCGGUAAGCGGAACACAGUUUGUUCGAUUCCCAUCCCUGGAC